rnacentral:rRNA from 1 species
CGUAGGGUGCAAGCGUUAUCCGGAAUUAUUGGGCGUAAAGAGCUCGUAGGCGGUUUGUCGCGUCUGCUGUGAAAACUGGGGGCUCAACCCCCAGCCUGCAGUGGGUACGGGCAGACUAGAGUGCGGUAGGGGAGAUUGGAAUUCCUGGUGUAGCGGUGGAAUGCGCAGAUAUCAGGAGGAACACCAAUGGCGAAGGCAGAUCUCUGGGCCGUAACUGACGCUGAGGAGCGAAAGCAUGGGGAGCGAACAGGA